UACGUAGGGUGCAAGCGUUGUCCGGAAUUAUUGGGCGUAAAGAGCUUGUAGGCGGUUUGUCGCGUCUGCUGUGAAAUUUCGGGGCUCAACCCCGAACUUGCAGUGGGUACGGGCAGACUAGAGUGUGGUAGGGGAGACUGGAAUUCCUGGUGUAGCGGUGAAAUGCGCAGAUAUCAGGAGGAACACCGGUGGCGAAGGCGGCAUCCUGGACCGGCAUUGACGCUGAGGCGCGAAAGCCAGGGGAGCAAACGGG
rnacentral:rRNA from 1 species